rnacentral:rRNA from 1 species
AACGUAGGAGGCGAGCGUUAUCCGGAGUUACUGGGCGUAAAGCGCGUGUAGGCGGCUGUUUAAGUGUGCUGUGAAAGGUCCCGGCUUAACCGGGAAAGUGCGGCGCAGACUGGACGGCUGGAGGAUGACAGAGGCAGGUAGAAUUCCGGGUGUAGUGGUGAAAUGCGUAGAGAUCCGGAGGAAUACCAGUGGCGUAAGCGGCCUGCUGGGUUAUAACUGACGCUGAGACGCGAAGGCAUGGGGAGCGAACGGG